GAUCAACGCUGGCGGCGUGCUUAACACAUGCAGGUCGAACGAAGUUUUUCCUUCGGGAGAAACUUAGUGGCGGACGGGUGAGUAACGCGUGGGUAACCUGCCCUGUACAGGGGGACAACAGCUGUAAACGGCUGCUAAUACCGCAUAAGCCCUUAGCACUGCAUGGUGCAUAGGGAAAAGGAGCAAUCCGGUACAGGAUGGACCCGCGUCUGAUUAGCCAGUUGGCAGGGUAACGGCCUACCAAAGCGACGAUCAGUAGCCGAUCUGAGAGGAUGUACGGCCACAUUGGGACUGAGACACGGCCCAGACUCCUACGGGAGGCAGCAGUGGGGAAUAUUGCACAAUGGAGGAAACUCUGAUGCAGCGACGCCGCGUGAGUGAAGAAGUAUUUCGGUAUGUAAAGCUCUAUCAGCAGGGAAGAAAAUGACGGUACCUGACUAAGAAGCACCGGCUAAAUACGUG
rnacentral:rRNA from 1 species